UACGUAGGGAGCAAGCGUUGUUCGGAUUUACUGGGCGUAAAGGGCGCGUAGGCGGCGUGUCAAGUCGAUUGUGAAAUCUCCGGGCUUAACUCGGAACGGCCAAUCGAUACUGACGUGCUAGAGUGCAGAAAGGGCAAUCGGAAUUCUUGGUGUAGCGGUGAAAUGCGUAGAUAUCAAGAGGAACACCUGAGGCGAAGGCGGGUUGCUAGGCUGACACUGACGCUGAGUGCGCGAAAGCUAGGGGAGCGAACGGG
rnacentral:rRNA from 1 species